ensembl:misc_RNA Y_RNA Y RNA
GGCUGGUCCUAAGGUAGUGAGUUAUCUCAAUCGACUGUUCACAGCCAGUUACAGAUCAACCUCCUUGUUCUACUCUUUCCUUUCUUCCACUACUCCACUUGACUAGUCUAAA